AGCCUGCGGUUUAAUCGGACUCAACGCCGGGAAACUCACCAGAUAAGACAGCUGAAUGAUAGUCGGGCUGAAGACUCUACUUGACUAGCUGAGAGGAGGUGCAUGGCCGUCGUCAGUUCGUACUGUGAAGCAUCCUGUUAAGUCAGGCAACGAGCGAGACCCACGCCAACAGUUGCCAGCUCGUCCUCCGGGAUGGUGGGGACACUGUUGGGACCGCCUCUGCUAAAGAGGAGGAAGGAAUGGGCAACGGUGGGUCAGCAUGCCCCGAAUUAUCUGGGCUACACGCGGGCUACAAUGGGUGGGACAAUGGGUAUCGACACCGAAAGGUGAAGGCAAUCUCCUAAACCCAUCCGUAGUUCGGAUUGUGGGCUGCAACUCGCCCUCAUGAAGCUGGAAUCCGUAGUAAUCGCGUUUCAACAGAACGCGGUGAAUACGUCCCUGCUCCUU
rnacentral:rRNA from 1 species